rnacentral:lncRNA from 1 species
UUUUUUUUUUUUUUGUUUUUUUUUUUUUUUCUAGACUAACCCACAUUGAGAUGCUCUUACCUAUAAAGCAUCCGUAGUAACUUUUCUGUGAGGAAAGGGCCAGUAUCAUGUCUGCUGAGACAGAGUCAUGUCACAGUGGACACUUACCUUUCAAUAAGCUCACUGUUAAUAUAAUAAUAACAACGGAAGAAAAUUAUAACAAUCACGUCUUAAACCGAGACCUUUCAAGGCAAAAAUGAUUAAUGUUAGUGCUGACAAAUAGUUUGGCACUCUGGGAUUGCCAUGUUCAAUGUGUACUUGGCCACACUGUUUAACUUUUUACCCCUGAGUUGGCCAGAUAACUGUGCCCUGUGAGGCUGCUGUUGGUAUUUUGAAAGGAUCCUUUCUUUCCCCUUUGCAUUCCCUUAGCACCUCUCCUUCCACAAACCACCAGGGGUUUUCCUUCCAUUCACCAUUAGAUGAGGCAAUUUGCUCUCCCUUCCUAUGUUAAGAUCAAACUCAGAGAUAAUGACUUUCCAUUGUCACGCUGGGGAAAUGAAGCCAGAAAGACAAUCUCAGCCUAUAAACAAUAGUAUAUUAACUGCAGGGAGGAAAUCUCUGCAGCAAGAGCCCUGGAUCCCAGACUCACUGUGGGUGAAAAAUGCAAGACAACAACUCUUUAACAUACUCCAGCACUUUCCAGAAACAGCCUGUCUAGCCAGAAGGCCAAGAGAAGUAGAAAGAGGAGGGAAGGAGGGAAGAGGCCAUGCUCUUGAAGUGAGUCACAAGUGAACUGGAGAGCUCCUGCCCUCUGGGGCCGUGAAGCCCACAGAAUAUAGAAUCCAGCUGUCUUUGAUGUUUGUCUAACAGGGCUUUCUGUGGAGAAAAACCUUCAGCUUGACAGAGAGAGCUCUCCCAAAGGGUGAUGGAAAGCGAUGGAAAGUGUUACACGCACCACAGUGAAGCUGAUGAAUGGGUCUUCUUUGAAAAUGUUGCCAAGAUCCCCACAGUUGAACAUACUCACAAAUUAGGAGACAUAUCAUCUGGGUUUUCUUCUCUCCCUUUCUUUUUCUUCCCCCCCUUAGGACUUCUGUGACCAUAUAUAGCUAUGGCAUCAGCUUGCAAUCUGUAGGGUUAUGCCUUUCUGUUAAGGCUUGUAGAUGAAAGUCUGGAAUUGAAUGUGAUUAUUGUAACCGUUUCUCACCAUCGAUGUCUAGUUGUGAGCUGUCGAACCUUUCCUGCAUUAAGAUGGGCUUAUCAUAAUUUUCCUCUUUUUGUAAAUAAGUUAACCUUCAUUAACAGGCCUCAGAUUUCAUUUGUUCUCAUGGGAAUAAGAUUUCCAUUAAGAAAUGCAUAAGACAUAUCCUCACAGUCUCAUGGGUAAAAGCCCUAACUGCGGUUCUAAAUGCCUGGGCCCAGGGAUAUAGUUGGGAUCUGGUUUAAUUGUGAUAUGUUGCAGUCUAGUUUGUAGCAAGGGCCCCUGCUAAAGGAAUGGGGGGUGACAGUAGUGCCAGAGGGUCAGAGUCUGCCUAUCAGAGAAACUUCUUUCUGAGCCUAUGGUCAGAACUACACAACCCAGCCACAGGAGACCAUAAACUCCUUAGAUCUCUCUCCUUCAUUCCGUUUGUCUGUGUUCUAUUCUUUGAAUAAGUAAAAUGUCAGAAUAGCAUCAAGAGGCAGUAUGUACUGAGCAUCAACAAUGUGUAAAUGACAGUGCCCUGUGUGCCUUACCAACAUCAGCACACCAUUGCCUGUGACCAUCUUGCAAGGUAAACAUUCUAAUUAGGUUUUUAUCAUUGGAGGGAUGAAGAAACUGAGGCUUGGGGUCAUUGUCCUGUUAAAUAGCCAAGCCCAUGACCACAACAGUAGACAUGUUCAUUGUUUGAUCCAUGGCAAUCUGGAGGACUGUCCUGUUCUGUGCUUCCUACCAUGCUUGGCUCUCUGCCUGCCUGCUUUUCCCUCUAUGAAAAUCCCACUGUGUUGCUCACUUUUAAUAUUAAAGUC